UAUAUUGAUCUUGUGACACCCACCUAGCUUCUCUGGAACUGAGUCAUCCUCUUCAGUUCUCUGGAAUAAUAACAUUUACCUGGAAUGGAUUGGGCUGAGAACUUCCCACCCUUCCUCUCUCUGUAAGAUCUACCCUAUAAAAGCAGAGCCAUCUCUCCACUCUGCACUAGAACACCUGAUUACUACAACCUUCAAGCGCGCCACCGCACCGAGGAAGAACACACACACAGUUGCAGCAAUGGAUUGUGCUUCAACUGAUGUCCCUUCACAUACCAAUAGUCAAAGCGUCUGCAAAAAAAAACAAUGUGUUGCCAAAUGUCCUACUGAAUCAGGCCAAAACAUAUCAGGCCAAAACGUAUCAGGCCAAAACGUAUCAGGCCAAAACGUAUCAGGCAAUGUGAGCGGAAACAUUUCCAUUGGCAACCAGGGCAAAACCACCAGUCAUACUGCUUAACAAACAACUCCCAGAAAAGCUGUCGGACCCAUCAUCACCAUAGCCAACAUAACAGGUGGCAAAGUGGGUCUCUACUACAAGGAAGAGAAGAUGGCUCUCUGUGACCUCAUCGAGGGUAGUCAACUCAGGAAGGGCCACUCCAUUCUCAUCCUGGAAAACACCUUUAAGAAGACCCCUCUUCCUCCUCUAUGCCACUGGCUUCCAAGUAGAAAGUGACAAUACACACAGAUUAAACUACAUUCACAUUAUUGUUAAAAAAUAAAGACAGAAUAUAUCCCAGAUAGGUGAAAAAGUGCUACAAGAUAUACUUUGAUUGUAUGGUCAGCAAUGUAAUCAAUGUAGGUUUUUGAUAAAUAAAUGUUACCAAACUGAGAA